AUUCCUACGGGAGGCAGCAGUGGGGAAUCUUGCGCAAUGGGGGAAACCCUGACGCAGCGACGCCGCGUGCGGGAUGAAAGCCUUCGGGUUGUAAACCGCUUUCAGUGGGGAAGAUAGUGACGGUACCCACACAAGAAGCUCCGGCUAAAUACGUGCCAGCAGCCGCGGUAAUACGUAUGGAGCGAGCGUUAUCCGGAUUCAUUGGGCGUAAAGCGCGCGUAGGCGGCUUGUUAAGUCGAGUGUUAAAUCCAAGGGCUCAACCCCUGGUCGCACCCGAUACUGGCAGGCUUGAGUUCGGUAGGGGAGGUUGGAAUUCCCGGUGUAGCGGUGGAAUGCGCAGAUAUCGGGAAGAACACCGGUGGCGAAGGCGAACCUCUGGGCCGCAACUGACGCUGAGGCGCGAAAGCUGGGGGAGCGAACAGGAUUAGAUACCCUGGUAGUCCCAGCCGUAAAUGAUGGACGCUAGGUGUGGGGAGAUGUACUCUCCGUGCCGCAGCUAACGCAUUAAGCGUCCCGCCUGGGGAGUACGGCCGCAAGGCUAAAACUCAAAGGAAUUGACGGAAU
rnacentral:rRNA from 1 species